UUAUUUUAGCGGCGGACGGGUGAGUAACGUGUGGGUAACCUGCCUUUUACUGGGGAAUAAUCACUGGAAACGGUGACUAAUACCGCAUACGGUUCUUGGAAGGCAUCUUCUAGGAAAGAAAGGAUUUAUUCGGUAAAAGAUGGGCCCGCAUCUGAUUAGCUAGUUGGUGAGAUAACAGCCCACCAAGGCGACGAUCAGUAGCCGACCUGAGAGGGUGGCCGGCCACAUUGGGACUGAGACACGGCCCAAACUCCUACGGAAGGCAGCAG
rnacentral:rRNA from 1 species